UACGUAGGGUGCGAGCAUUGUCCGGAAUUAUUGGGCGUAAAGAGCUCGUAGGCGGCCUGUCACGUCGGAUGUGAAAGCCCGGGGCUUAACCCCGGGUCUGCAUUCGAUACGGGCAGGCUGGAGUUCGGUAGGGGAGAUCGGAAUUCCUGGUGUAGCGGUGAAAUGCGCAGAUAUCAGGAGGAACACCGGUGGCGAAGGCGGAUCUCUGGGCCGAUACUGACGCUGAGGCGCGAAAGCCAGGGGAGCGAACGGG
rnacentral:rRNA from 1 species